rnacentral:rRNA from 1 species
AUGACUUGCUUCUCGUGGAAGCUCAUAUGGAAGAACUGGGCGCCGCCAAGAGUGAAGUUUUUUCACUGGUUGGCCAGCCAAGACCGGUGCUGGACGGCCGACCGCUUGGCUCGACGCGGUCUCCAGCAUCAGCCAAGAUGCCCACUCUGUGACCAGGCUCCCGAGACGAUGCGCCACCUCCUCUUGGAGUGCCCCUUCGCCAGGCAGACUUGGCACGAAAUCCUGUCCUGGCUACGGAUGACCAGUGCAGGGCCAAGCCACGAAGAUUCAUUGAUGGACUGGUGGCUGCAGCAACAUUAA